GCUGCCCACAAAGAGAACAAGGAGAUAGCAAAGGCUGCAACAUCUGAAAGCAAAUGUGCAGCAUCGGUCAAUAUUGCAAGACUGUUAGCUUUGAUGCCACCAGCUACUUCAGCACUCAUGAAGACUACACAAAGUGCCACUGCCAUCAAGAGCUUGCGCAUGGAAGCUGAUCGUUCUUUGGCAUCUUUGGAGUUAGCUCCAGCAUCUG
rnacentral:misc_RNA from 1 species